rnacentral:rRNA from 1 species
CCGAUAGUGAACCAGUACCGUGAGGGAAAGGCGAAAAGAACCCCGGCGAGGGGAGUGAAAAAGAACCUGAAACCGUGUACGUACAAGCAGUGGGAGCACGCUUAGGCGUGUGACUGCGUACCUUUUGUAUAAUGGGUCAGCGACUUAUAUUCUGUAGCAAGGUUAACCGAAUAGGGGAGCCGAAGGGAAACCGAGUCUUAACUGGGCGUUAAGUUGCAGGGUAUAGACCCGAAACCCGGUGAUCUAGCCAUGGGCAGGUUGAAGGUUGGGUAACACUAACUGGAGGACCGAACCGACUAAUGUUGAAAAAUUAGCGGAUGACUUGUGGCUGGGGGUGAAAGGCCAAUCAAACCGGGAGAUAGCUGGUUCUCCCCGAAAGCUAUUUAGGUAGCGCCUCGUGAAUUCAUCUCCGGGGGUAGAGCACUGUUUCGGCAAGGGGGUCAUCCCGACUUACCAACCCGAUGCAAACUGCGAAUACCGGAGAAUGUUAUCACGGGAGACACACGGCGGGUGCUAACGUCCGUCGUGAAGAGGGAAACAACCCAGACCGCCAGCUAAGGUCCCAAAGUCAUGGUUAAGUGGGAAACGAUGUGGGAAGGCCCAGACAGCCAGGAUGUUGGCUUAGAAGCAGCCAUCAUUUAAAGAAAGCGUAAUAGCUCACUGGUCGAGUCGGCCUGCGCGGAAGAUGUAACGGGGCUAAACCAUGCACCGAAGCUGCGGCAGCGACGCUGAUGCGUUGUUGGGUAGGGGAGCGUUCUGUAAGCCUGCGAAGGUGUGCUGUGAGGCAUGCUGGAGGUAUCAGAAGUGCGAAUGCUGACAUAAGUAACGAUAAAGCGGGUGAAAAGCCCGCUCGCCGGAAGACCAAGGGUUCCUGUCCAACGUUAAUCGGGGCAGGGUGAGUCGACCCCUAAGGCGAGGCCGAAAGGCGUAGUCGAUGGGAAACAGGUUAAUAUUCCUGUACUUGGUGUUACUGCGAAGGGGGGACGGAGAAGGCUAUGUUGGCCGGGCGACGGUUGUCCCGGUUUAAGCGUGUAGGCUGGUUUUCCAGGCAAAUCCGGAAAAUCAAGGCUGAGGCGUGAUGACGAGGCACUGCGGUGCUGAAGCAACAAAUGCCCUGCUUCCAGGAAAAGCCUCUAAGCAUCAGGUAACAUCAAAUCGUACCCCAAACCGACACAGGUGGUCAGGUAGAGAAUACCAAGGCGCUUGAGAGAACUCGGGUGAAGGAACUAGGCAA